UCAUUCUCUUUCGCUCUCGUUCAAAAGCUCUCCAUUCAUCUUUCUUGUUCGAUUUUCUUGCGCACAACGCAACUUCGUUCCUCUCUUGAUACGAAUCUACUUACGCUCCCAAUCAACAAAGAACCAUCGACGAAGAUGAACAACCCUGUUAGUCCUAGGGUUUCAUCACCGCCGAGUGAAUGGUGGAAGUUGCAUUUGUUGGCGGAUGUCGCCGCCGCCAUGUCGGAGUACCAAAAAGCAGAGGCCCAGAUUGGCGAAGAAGAAAAAGCCAGAAUCUUUGUCAAUUUCCCAAGAAAGAAGAGAAGCUGUCUCUUUCGUCGAUCAUCUUCGAUGUCAACACAAUGUACGACAACGUGUGUGAUCGAUAAACAGAGUUCAGUUGCUUGCGCGGAGGGUAACAAAGAAGAGAUGAGUCUCAAGAAACGCGAAAUCUUUGGUCGUUUUGAGGUGGGUUCGUGUUCAAUAUCCACACAAGAGCGAGAACUAAUCCAAAACCCUAAUUUGACUCCUCUUUCUUCCGUCUUCAACGAGUGCAAGAAACGUCGUCCUAUUAACUUCUGCCAAGAAGAAGAAGAAGAAGAAGAAGAAGAGAGAAACCUCAAGAAACGCAGAAUCGCCUCGAUCCCGGAGUGGCUCGAAGAGAUCAACGGAUACGAUCCAAAGCUGGUCUUAGCAAAGAAGCUGUACAAGAGUGAUAUCGACAAAGUCCAGUCACGUCUCUCAUUGCCUUCAAACCAAGUGGUUAAUUCAGAUUUUCUAUCGGAGGAGGAGAGCAGAGUCAUAUACGAACAGUCGGUACUCAAGAAUCGUACGGAAGGACUAAGUGUUGUUCUGGUGGAUCCUCUGUUAAAGAAGCAUGUGGUUGAUCUAAGGAAGUGGAAGAUGGGUGGAAACUGGAACUACGUCUUUGUUGAUGGUUGGAACCAAGUUGUGUCCACCAACACGUUUAAGGUCGGCAACGUCUAUCAUGUCUGGUCUUUCAGAUCCGGAGGAGUGAUAUCAUCUUCUGUAGUAGACUAAUAAGUCUAAGAUCUCAAAACCAUAUCACUGGAUAAAUAGGAAAAGCUAUCGGUGCGCCUGUCGAAGGUUCAUUAUUGGGAGUAAGCGUUCAAUGGUGUAUAUUCCCUCUUUAUUUCUUUUAACCUGAUUACAUAGCUUUCUAGAUCUUUUUCUUUGGUUGUGGUGAAUUUUAGGGAUUCCUUGUGAAGAUCUCUGAUAAUAACAAAGCCACUGAUGACUGUAAAGGUUUACUUUCUUAUUGAAAAGGUCAGCCCAUCACUUGUGUGGCAAUUUAAUUGUAAUUUGUAGGGUUCCAGUGAUGGUGCUGGAAGACUUUUAGCCGCAUAUGAUGUCGUAUCUCUCCUCAGGAGGAGAAAAUUGAAGUUGUGAACGGCAGGAAAGAUGUUGCAUCAACUGUGCACUCACUGCAACAUCGUUUAUCCCCAAGUUUGGCUCGAGCUAGAUAUCCUCCAGAAAUUGGAACACCAGUGGGAUUUGGUGUUGUAGUUGGAUUUUCCGGCUUCCGUUCUUUGAGUUACAAAUACUCGAAGUUGAUUAGCAGCAUGAGCUAGAGCAGAAUGAUAUGUGACAACAACAUUUCCUUUUACAUCUGAAAAACUAACAUGGUUGACUGGAGGAAGAAGCGAGACCAACAGAGAGAAUUAAAUUAAUAUGCGAGACAACCCUGAAGAUUUGGUUGUGGCCAUUGCUAAUCCCAUGUAAUAUGUUAGGUCCGUUGACUCUGCAAAAUUUACCAGGUCCGUUGACAUUUAGGACUGAGCAAAAGUUCAAGUGUUGUCUUCUACAUCUGCUUUGGUAUGAACACUUGCUUAGUUGCUUAGAAGCUGCUUAAGUUUCUGGGAUCCCUACCUAAUGUGUUUGCUCUGAAGUAGAAGUUGAGUGAAAAUUUACUUGACAAAAGGCAGGGUUAGUGCUAUACAGUAAACCUUAGAAUAAAUUGGUAUGAACUUUCAGUUUGCAUUCGUGUCAUUUUACUACUGCCCUUCUACUCAGUUUGAGAAAUCAGCUUUUGUGGUGUGUUGUGUAUAGAUCUUGCUCGAAAUAGAUACUGUUGUUCACGUGGAUUUGGGUUUAUCACCUUAGAAUGCUAGGGCCAUCCACGAGUCCUUCAGAGAGAUGCAUGGAACAGAGCUGAAAUGUGAAUGUGUUGCAGAUACCUAAAAGUUGAGGAUUCACGAUAGUGUUGUCCACAUGUUCUGAGUCUGACAAGAAGUGAAAACAUAAAAAAAAGUGUGAUUUUUCUGAAGAUUGAAGAUGGAAGAACCCAUUUGGUUGCUUUUGAUUUUCUUUGUUUCCUCUUUUUAGAGAAAUCUGUUGUCCAAUAUGCAGUUUUACUUUCGUUGUUAUGUGUUAGUUCGUGUAUGAAGAUCUCCUAAGAAAAAUAUCUCUGUUUUGUUUUUCCAUUGUUCUCAGCAUGUAAACGCUUGAAGUCAUGUUAUUAUCAUUUGAGAAACAAGUAACCUUAAU